rnacentral:rRNA from 1 species
UACAGAGGUCUCAAGCGUUGUUCGGAUUCAUUGGGCGUAAAGGGCGCGUAGGCGGGCGGUCAAGUCAGGGGUGAAAUCUUUCGGCUCAACCGGAAAAGUGCCUUUGAUACUGGCCGUCUCGAGGGAGGUAGGGGCAUGCGGAACUUCCGGUGGAGCGGUGAAAUGCGUAGAUAUCGGAAGGAACGCCGGUGGCGAAAGCGGCGUGCUGGACCUCUUCUGACGCUGAGGCGCGAAAGCCAGGGGAGCAAACGGG